rnacentral:rRNA from 1 species
AUUGAACGCUGGCGGCAGGCCUAACACAUGCAAGUCGAGCGGUAGCACAGAGAGCUUGCUCUCGGGUGACGAGCGGCGGACGGGUGAGUAAUGUCUGGGAAACUGCCUGAUGGAGGGGGAUAACUACUGGAAACGGUAGCUAAUACCGCAUAACGUCGCAAGACCAAAGUGGGGGACCUUCGGGCCUCAUGCCAUCAGAUGUGCCCAGAUGGGAUUAGCUAGUAGGUGGGGUAAUGGCUCACCUAGGCGACGAUCCCUAGCUGGUCUGAGAGGAUGACCAGCCACACUGGAACUGGGACACGGUCCAGACUCCUACGGGAGGCAGCAGUGGGGAAUAUUGCACAAUGGGCGCAAGCCUGAUGCAGCCAUGCCGCGUGUAUGAAGAAGGCCUUCGGGUUGUAAAGUACUUUCAGCGAGGAGGAAGGCGUUAAGGUUAAUAACCUUGGCGAUUGACGUUACUCGCAGAAGAAGCACCGGCUAACUCCGUGCCAGCAGCCGCGGUAAUACGGAGGGUGCAAGCGUUAAUCGGAAUUACUGGGCGUAAAGCGCACGCAGGCGGUCUGUCAAGUCGGAUGUGAAAUCCCCGGGCUCAACCUGGGAACUGCAUUCGAAACUGGCAGGCUAGAGUCUUGUAGAGGGGGGUAGAAUUCCAGGUGUAGCGGUGAAAUGCGUAGAGAUCUGGAGGAAUACCGGUGGCGAAGGCGGCCCCCUGGACAAAGACUGACGCUCAGGCGCGAAAGCGUGGGGAGCAAACAGGAUUAGAUACCCUGGUAGUCCACGCCGUAAACGAUGUCGACUUGGAGGUUGUGCCCUUGAGGCGUGGCUUCCGGAGCUAACGCGUUAAGUCGACCGCCUGGGGAGUACGGCCGCAAGGUUAAAACUCAAAUGAAUUGACGGGGGCCCGCACAAGCGGUGGAGCAUGUGGUUUAAUUCGAUGCAACGCGAAGAACCUUACCUACUCUUGACAUCCAGAGAACUUAGCAGAGAUGCUUUGGUGCCUUCGGGAACUCUGAGACAGGUGCUGCAUGGCUGUCGUCAGCUCGUGUUGUGAAAUGUUGGGUUAAGUCCCGCAACGAGCGCAACCCUUAUCCUUUGUUGCCAGCGGUCCGGCCGGGAACUCAAAGGAGACUGCCAGUGAUAAACUGGAGGAAGGUGGGGAUGACGUCAAGUCAUCAUGGCCCUUACGAGUAGGGCUACACACGUGCUACAAUGGCAUAUACAAAGAGAAGCGACCUCGCGAGAGCAAGCGGACCUCAUAAAGUAUGUCGUAGUCCGGAUUGGAGUCUGCAACUCGACUCCAUGAAGUCGGAAUCGCUAGUAAUCGUAGAUCAGAAUGCUACGGUGAAUACGUUCCCGGGCCU